AAGAGCCCAGUGCGGGAAAACCGCUCGCUGGGAUCUGUGGAGGGGGCUAUGGGCAACCAUGGUUCCUACUCCGACUCCAAC
rfam:Deltaproteobacteria bacterium RIFOXYA12_FTLL_58_15 rifixya3_full_scaffold_443, whole genome shotgun sequence.